GACAAAGCCGCCGCUGCCGCCGCCGGGGGUGGGAGCCGCGCUCGCCCGCCCGCCCCUCGACUCGCGAGGGCGUAAAAGUUUGUCUCAGCUCGAGCAUUCCUAGCGCCAACACGCCCUCAGCAGGUAGAUGAAACUCAAGAGAAAAGGUGUGGAUAAAUGAAACUAGCCCAUGAUGAACCUGUUUUCUCCGUGACCACAAUAUUAACCAGGAUGAAUGGCGGUGGCAGUGGGCCUGCAUCACAGGUUGCAGCAGAUGUUCUCAAUAUUUCUAUUAAAAUUUCCUUAUUUCCAUAUGCAAGAGGAGCCCCAGAGCUGCAUCCUUAUGGUAGCUACCAUGCCGUGAUGUAAGCUGCCAUUCACUGGGGAGCUUUGGCAAUAGAAUUGGCUAGAUCAGGAAGCCUAUGUCAACUAUGGAACAACAACUUGCAGCUCAUCUCUAUUGAUGAUACACUGCCUCUAGGACUGGGACAGAUAGCCACUGAGUACCUGCUUCAAAUCACCCUGCACGUUUUCUCUUUGGAAAGAUAAGCACUGGAGAACCAUCUCGUUACCUUCAGCAGAAAUGGAAACAAAUCAAGACAUUAAGAAUGCCGCAGUGGACAGCAGUUAUGCAAGGUUCAGCAGAGGAAGUUUUCAAGAUGGUGUGCCUCACUAGCCAGAAAUCAGAAAAGAUCGAAGCUAGCCUUUUCAUCUCAGCUGCUCCUUAAAUCAGUGCAACCCCUCCAAAUUAAUGUGAAUUGAAACUUGCAUUGCUUUUCAACUUAAUUGAAUACUUACUAUAUGUGAACCACUGCACAAAAUAGGGGAAGAAGAUGUGGGAGACAAAGAUGUGGAGCCUGUCUUCAAUAAAUUUACAGUUAGUUUCAGGGUACAUUGUUUUUCUUCUGCUGUUAAUUAGGUGUAUCCCCAAGACAAUAAAUACAUGAAUGGAAAAGUAUAUUCUGUGUUUUAAGUCUCUUUAAUAAAAAACAAAACAAAAUCCAAAAAAACUCCUAACAUGGCAACUCAGGACAUUUUAAUCCUUUUUUUUGUUGUUGGGCUUCUGAUAGGAUCCAUUUUAUUGAUUCCAUAAAUAUUUAGUAGACUUUAGACAUAUUAAUACAUUGUAGUUUGAGUUAAUUUGCAUUAAAUUCUGUUUUUUUCCCCUUAGGUAUAGAUUGUCUGUUGGAAAAAUAUAUUGCUUGUGGAUUUCUUGGGGAGUGGGAAGGUGAAUUAUACCUGUUGUCUCUACAGUCCACUACCUUCCACACCCUAGGGCAGUGGUCCCCAACCUUCUUGGCACCAGGGAUCAGUUUCCUGGAAGACAAUUUUUCUGUGGAUGGUGUGGGGAUGGUUUUGGGAUGGAACUGUUCCACCUCAGAUCAUCAGGCAUUAGUUAGGCUCUCAUAACGAGUGCGCAGCCUAGAUCCCUCACAUGCACAGUUCACAGUAGGGUUUGCGCUGCUAUGAGAAUCUAAGGCUGCCACUGAUCUGACAGGAGGCAGAACUCAGGUGGCAAUGCUUACUGGCCCACUGCUCACCUCUUGCUGUGCGGCCUGGUUCCUAAUAGGCCAUGGACCCCCACAGACGGGUACUAGUCUGCAGCCUGUGGACCCCAGCCCUAGGGGCCUGCCAUUCUGAGUGAGUUAUUAGCAUGAAGAAGAGGAAGAUCUGGAUCAAACGUGGGUGAUGGUACUCAGAGACCCAAGAUAGGAUAGGGAUGGAACAAAAUCCAUCUGGGCAACGGCUCUAUGAAAAUUUGGCUAAGUAAUUAUUUCAGUAUUCAUUGUAUUCAUUGUCCUUCGUGUUCCAUAAGUUAAAUGACUGUCUAAUUUUUCCAAAAAUUUAUUUCUGACUUGAGAAUAAGUGUGUCAUGAUUUUCCCAGUGUAAAGACACUGAUAUAACUGUAGAUACCAGACAUUUUAUGUAGUGUCUAUGACACAUUUUAGUAUGUAUGAGCCAACAAUAGACAUGUCUUUGUCUUGAGGAGUGUCCAUCUGAAUUGAAAAUGUGUCAGCUUUUUUUUAACAUCAUCAACAGACUUCUUAAUUAAGCUGCCAAUACAUACUGCCAAUAGCACUGUGUGCUGUCUGAGAAAUGCAUUGUGUAAGUGCUAUUUCCAUCUUAUUAAAUAAACAAUGUUGCUCUGUAUAAACUGGAUUUAAAGUGUUCUUUGAAUGAGGCAUUAUAUUGCUCCAUAAAUAAUGUGAUGUGAAUUCUCAUAUGAUCCCUUUUAACUUAAUUUCUAAAAAAAUAUUAUUUGCUCCUCAGUAAGGAAUAGCUCUAAUUGGACUGGUAACUUUAGUGAUAUGAUUUGUCUGUAACAGGCUGAAUCGCCCCACUCCCAAACUCCUGGUCGUGAUACUGGAUAUUUGUUAUGCCACUUUUAGUUUGCAUGAGGUAUCUUCCAGGAAGUAUUAGUUAUUAACUUGUGUUCUACUAAACUGUAGAUAUUUAUUUCCUGUUCUGGAAGAUUUCUUGGAGUGUCCAUCUGUGCAUUCCUGGUGCCUAGUGUAGUCUUGCUAAUGGAAUAGCACCUUUAUUGGUGCUACUUAGGGGUUGGUAGCUUACAAUCAAUCUACUUGGAACGUAUCCAAAUAAACUGGAUAUUUUUAUACA
ensembl:lncRNA NR2F1-AS1 NR2F1 antisense RNA 1